CUGAUGUCUGGUAACCAUCUUAUCUUCUUUUGAGAGUUACACGUCUUUAAUUAGUGUUCUUGCCUGCUAAUUGAGACUCAAUUUAUUGUUACCUGGUAGUUUAAGACGAGCACAAGUAACAAGUAACUGCCAUGUGAACUCACUACAGAGAAUGCUUCCGAUCAGAUCUUCAAGAAGUCUUGUGGGGAAUUGAUUGAAAGGGGAAGGUGUAGUACGUCUGAUUAGCAACGCUUAACUUGGUCUAUUACUUCUUUGCAGAUGUUCACGGUAUUACACAGGAAGACACUGUCAAGUAAAUCGCAACUUGCCAGUACCUCCAACGCCAACCACUUCUGCAACUAGCGAUGGUCUUGGAUGGCGACAAGGCCAAGAGGAAGAGGAUAUUGGUGUGACUGUAGGUAUUUCAGUAACAGUUGUGAUACUCAUCUUAGCCGUUGGAGUUCUUGUUGGAUGGCUGGUAUACAAGAGAAUACAAAGAAACAGUCGUAGAUCAAUGAACUUUGAUAACCCUGUGUAUAAGAAAACAACGGAAUCUACUAGCUCACUGGAUAGAAUUAGUAUACACUUUGGACAUUCACAUGGAAAGUGUCAGUCAUUAUUGGGAUCCUUCAGAAAUGAAGUAGAAGUGAGCAAUUGCUAGCAUUUCCAUGGAUAUCCUGUCAGCAAAGGUCAAUUCAGUUGCAUGAAACUGUCACAAAGUUUGGUUUCUCAUUUAUUUAUAUGCUCUUCAAAUAUUGGAUUGACUGACACCUUGUGAG